UUUUGGUAAGCAGAACUGGCGCUGUGGGAUGAACCAAACGCCGGGUUACGGCGCCCGAUGCGAGACGCUCAUGAGACCCCAUGAAAGGUGUUGGUUGCUCCUGACAGCAGGACGGUGGUCAUGGAAGUCGAAAUCCGCUAAGGAGUGUGUAACAACUCACCUGCCGAAGCAACUAGCCCUGAAAAUGGAUGGCGCUCCAGCGUCGAGCCCAUACCCGGCCGCUGCGACAGAGUUCCGUGAGGAAGUUUACGUCGCAGUGAGUAGGAGGGUCGCGGCGGGGAGCGUUGAAGGUGCCGGGCGCGAGCCCGCCUGGAGCCCCCGUCGGUGCAGAUCUUGGUGGUAGUAGCAAAUACUCAAGUGAGAACCUUGAGGACUGAAGGUGGAGAAGGGUUCCAUGUGAACAGCAGUUGAACAUGGGUCAGUCGGCCCUAAGGGAUCGGAGAAAUCCGUUCCGAAGCGGGACCUUACGUCGAGAGCGCAAGUCCCGCUGCCGACCGAAAGGGAAUGGGGUCAAUAUUCCCCAACCCGGACACGGAGAUUGGGCCUUCGGGCCCGAGUGCGGCGACGCAACCGAACUCGGAGAAGUCGACGGAAGACCCGGGGAAGAGUUGUCUUUUCUUUGUAAGGGUUCGUGUCCCUGGAAUCGGCUCGUCCGGAGAUAGGGACGCUGUUCCCGUAAAAGCACCGCGGCUCUUGCGGUGUCCGGUCCGCUUCUGUCGGCCCUUGCAAAUCCGAGGGAGAUGGUGUGAUUUUCGUGCCGGACCGUACCCAUAUCCGCAGCA
rnacentral:rRNA from 1 species